rnacentral:rRNA from 1 species
AACGAACGCUGGCGGCAGGCUUAAUACAUGCAAGUCGAGCGCUGUAGCAAUACAGAGCGGCAGACGGGUGAGUAACGCGUGGGAAUGUGCCCUUUGGUCAGGAAUAACACAGGGAAACUUGUGCUAAUACCAGAUAAGCCCGAAAGGGGAAAGAUUUAUCGCCAAAGGAUCAGCCCGCGUUGGAUUAGCUAGUUGGUGAGGUAAUGGCUCACCAAGGCUACGAUCUAUAGCUGAUCUGAGAGGAUGAUCAGCCACACUGGGACUGAGACACGGCCCAGACUCCUACGGGAGGCAGCAGUAGGGAAUAUUGGACAAUGGGGGAAACCCUGAUCCAGCCAUGCCGCGUGAGUGAUGAAGGCCUUAGGGUUGUAAAGCUCUUUUACCUGGGAAGAUAAUGACUGUACCAGGAGAAUAAGCCCCGGCUAACUUCGUGCCAGCAGCCGCCGUAA